CUCCAGACGGUGACACCCGGGGGCGUUGCCCUGGGGAACCACCGGCUUCCCUCCGGCCCUCCGCGUGGAGGGGUGGGACGUGGUCACCAGGAGCCGGCACGUGACCCUACUGGGGACGACAGUAGGACUCUGUCCUGGGACAUGUCCUGGGAGCACAAGGAGACGGGGACGCUCCUCUGCUGGGGCUGGCCCAGGCGCUAGGGUGCAGGCCUUGAGCCACCCGACCUGCUCUCAGAGGGAAGAUGACAGGCGAGCUGAAUGGAGGAGGCAGGAGGCAUUGGCACUUCCUGCGCAGAGGCCCCGCGUGUCGGUUCUCCUGCCAGAGCUCGCCGACCACCUAAACCCACUACAGCUUCCGGGAGGACCGUCUGCUUCUGGGGAACCCCACGUGUUCACAGAUCAGACGGAGCGGCUGUGGUGGCAGCA
rnacentral:lncRNA from 12 species